AUUGAACGCUGGCGGCAUGCUUUACACAUGCAAGUCGAACGGCAGCGCGGGCUUCGGCCUGGCGGCGAGUGGCGAACGGGUGAGUAAUGCAUCGGAACGUGCCCAGUAGUGGGGGAUAGCCCGGCGAAAGCCGGAUUAAUACCGCAUACGACCUGAGGGUGAAAGCGGGGGACCGAAAGGCCUCGCGCUAUUGGAGCGGCCGAUGUCGGAUUAGCUAGUUGGUGGGGUAAAGGCUUACCAAGGCGACGAUCCGUAGCUGGUCUGAGAGGACGACCAGCCACACUGGGACUGAGACACGGCCCAGACUCCUACGGGAGGCAGCAGUGGGGAAUUUUGGACAAUGGGGGCAACCCUGAUCCAGCCAUGCCGCAUGCGGGAAGAAGGCCUUCGGGUUGUAAACCGCUUUUGUUCGGGAAGAAAUCCUCUGGGCUAAUACCCCGGGGGGAUGACGGUACCGGAAGAAUAAGCACCGGCUAACUACGUG
rnacentral:rRNA from 1 species